AUGUGGCUUGUCAUACAUAAGAAGUGCCUUACGGCAGACAACCUUCAGAAACGAGGAUGGCCGUCCAAUCGGGACUGCCCACUUUCUUCAGCGCGGCCGGAGAACUGCGCACACCUAUUUGUUCACUGCGGAUUUACUCAGCAGCUUUGGAACCUCUUUAAACAAUGGUCUACAGUGGAUUUCCCCAUCCCGGACAGCAGCUUCGACAUCACUGAAGACUGGUGGAUGGCGGCAAGGAGGACAAUUCCUAAGCAAGCGCGCCGGAACUUUGACACUAUCGCCAGUCUUAUUCAUUGGAGGAUCUGGAAAGAGCGGAAUGCGAGAAUUUUUCAACACACUGCUUGUAAUAUUGAGAGGGUCUUAGAUCUUAUCAGAGAGGACAUUGGAAUGUGGAGAUCGGCCGGAUGUGUGGCUGAUUUAGUUACUUAG
rnacentral:rRNA from 1 species